rnacentral:rRNA from 1 species
AUUGAACGCUGGCGGCAGGCCUAACACAUGCAAGUCGAACGGUAACAGGAAACAGCUUGCUGUUUCGCUGACGAGUGGCGGACGGGUGAGUAAUGUCUGGGAAACUGCCUGAUGGAGGGGGAUAACUACUGGAAACGGUAGCUAAUACCGCAUAACGUCGCAAGACCAAAGAGGGGGACCCUCGGGCCUCUUGCCAUCGGAUGUGCCCAGAUGGGAUUAGCUUGUUGGUGGGGUAACGGCUCACCAAGGCGACGAUCCCUAGCUGGUCUGAGAGGAUGACCAGCCACAAUGGAACUGAGACACGGUCCAGACUCCUACGGGAGGCAGCAGUGGGGAAUAUUGCACAAUGGGCGCAAGCCUGAUGCAGCCAUGCCGCGUGUAUGAAGAAGGCCUUCGGGUUGUAAAGUACUUUCAGCGGAGAGGAAGGGAGUAAAGUUAAUACCUUUGCUCAUUGACGUUACCCGCAGAAGAAGCACCGGCUAACUCCGUG